CGCAUUGGAGUUGCAACAGACAGCAGAUGCUGAGAAGGAAAAAAUGAAUCCGGGUGAAGACUAUGUGUAUCCUCAAGUAUCAUUCCAUGCUUCUCGAUAUACCAAUAUAGUUGGUGGAUUCCAGUUGGAUUCAAGUAAUAUUUCAAUAGAUUUGGAUACGGAUACUACUGGACAGACUUUUCCUAGUGUUGUAUCCAGUAGCAUAACGUCUAGUCAUGGCUUCUCCGGCACCAUCAACUCUUCCAGGAAAUAGCUUGGAAAAGGUGACAAGAGAAAAUAAAAAUGGUUUUGCGUUUUGACUGUAAAAGUGUGCUGCUUGUUAAUUUUGUCAAUUUUAUUGAUUAUGGAGUCCUUGUUUGUGCCCAAAGUCCUGUGGAAAAUUGUGUCAAGUGUCGUUUCUAAUCAUUACCUUACACCAUCAACGGGGAAGCCUAAUGGUUGUAUUUUAGUUUCCCUGUUGAUGGUGUAAGGUAAUGAUUAGAAAC
rnacentral:misc_RNA from 1 species